rnacentral:rRNA from 1 species
GUAGGUGGCAAGCGUUGUCCGGAAUUAUUGGGCGUAAAGCGCGCGCAGGCGGUCCUUUAAGGUCUGAUGUGAAAGCCCACGGGCUCAACCGUGGAGGGUCAUUGGAAACUGAGGGACUUGAGUACAGAAGAGGAAAGCGGAAUUCCACGUGUAGCGGUGAAAUGCGUAGAGAUGUGGAGGAACACCAGUGGCGAAGGCGGCUUUCUGGUCUGUAACUGACGCUGAGGCGCGAAAGCGUGGGGAGCAAACAGGAUUAGAUACCCUGGUAGUCCACGCCGUAAACGAUGAGUGCUAAGUGUUAGGGGGUUUCCGCCCCUUAGUGCUGCAGCUAACGCAUUAAGCACUCCGCCUGGGGAGUACGACCGCAAAGGUUG